CACGUAGGGGGCGAGCGUUGUCCGGAUUUAUUGGGCGUAAAGAGCUCGUAGGCGGCUUGGUAAGUCAGGUGUGAAACCCCCGGGCUCAACCCGGGGACGCCACCUGAUACUGCUAUGGCUUGAGUCCGGUAGGGGAGCGUGGAAUUCCUGGUGUAGCGGUGAAAUGCGCAGAUAUCAGGAGGAACACCAGCGGCGAAGGCGGCGCUCUGGGCCGGUACUGACGCUGAGGAGCGAAAGCCAGGGGAGCGAACGGG
rnacentral:rRNA from 1 species